UGGCCAAAGUCCGGGCUGAGUCCUGACAGGUUUGCACUAAAACUAUGCCUUUAAAUGGAGGAUAAAGUGCUUCACUAUGUAAAGAGCUUCACUGUGCACUACUGUAGAUUUACUUCAAGAAACUAUUAUUGCAAUAUGUUACAUCAGAACAUGAGAGUUGGUAGUGAAAAUGAUUGUGUCGAAUUUAGUCUCUGGCUGGAUAAUAAGUCAGUGUGUAUGCCGUGGGAACAUGCUGGAGCAAGGACAGACAUGCUCACAGGAUCUUGAUUUCCCAAGAUCCUCCAGGACUACACAGCUCAGUGAGAUAACGUCCACCCAUCAGUGUCGUGUCAAGCUUUGCAGAAUGCCAAGCUGAUGCCAAUCACACUGAGCAAUACUGCUGGUUCAAACCAAGAAAAGAAAGGAAAAAGAAGUACCAUCUACUAUUAUAAUUGAUACUAAACUACCAGUGUGAAAGCCUCCUUAGAGAAAAUGCCUGAGAACAGCACUGAGACAGCAAAAGUGGGUCAGUCAUGUACACUGCGCACCUCCCUUACCUCGCUCUAUCUUCUGGAGCAGCUGCUGACGGGCAACGAUUCGGGCCAAACGCAACCCGGAUCGCCGAUGGUGACUGUCCAGCCUCAGUCCACAGGAAGUCGUGGAUACCUACAGGACGUGUCUGUCUUCCUCUAUGUCUUAUCUCCUAGACAUUCCUUCAGCUUUCACACGGCGAGACGCAGCUGUUCCACAUACCACAGUGCUGAGGAACACUCAACGGGGAGC